AGCAGCCGCGGUAAUUCCAGCUCCAAUAGCGUAUAUUAAAGUUGUUGCAGUUAAAAAGCUCGUAGUUGAAUUUCGGGGUUAGUAGGUUGGUCAUGCCUCUGGUAUGUACUGGUCUCACUGAUUCCUCCUUCCUGAUGAACCUUAAUGCCAUUAAUUUGGUGUUUUGGGGAAUUUGGACUGUUACUUUGAAAAAAUUUAGAGUGUUUAAAGCAAGCUAACGCUUGAAUACAUUAGCAUGGAAUAAUGAAAUAGGACGUUCGAUCCUAUUUUGUUGGUUUCUAGGAUCGACGUAAUGAUUAAUAGGGAUAGUUGGGGGCAUUAGUAUUCAAUUGUCAGAGGUGAAAUUCUUGGAUUUAUUGAAGACUAACUACUGCGAAAGCAUUUGCCAAGGAUGUUUUUCAUUAAUCAAGAACGAAAGUUAGGGGAUCGAAGACGAUCAGAUACCGUCGUAGUCUUAAACCAUAAACUAUGCCGACUAGGGGAUCGGAUGAUGUUAAUUUUUUUAAAUGACUCAUUCGGC
rnacentral:misc_RNA from 1 species